rnacentral:rRNA from 1 species
AAAAACAUGGCUUUUUGAUAAUAAUUUUAAGUCUGGCCUGCUCUAUGAAGUUUUUAAAUGGCCGCAAUAUUUUAAUUGUGCUAAGGUAGCAUAAUCAUUAGUUUCUUAAUUAGAAGCUGGAAUGAAAGGUUAGAUAAGAAAGUAGCUGUCUCUAUAAUAAUUUAUUGAAUUUUAUUUUUAAGUAAAAAAGCUUAAAUUUUAGUAAAAGACGAGAAGACCCUAUAGAGUUUUAUAUUUUUAAAUUAUAGAUAUUUUAGAAUUUUAAAAUCUAUAAAUUUAUAUUUAUUUAGUUGGGGUGAUUAAAAAAUUAAAUAAACUUUUUUUUAUAUAAUCACAAAUUUGUGAAAAAAUGAUCCUUAAUUAAGAUUAAAAGAUAAAAUUACCUUAGGGAUAACAGCGUAAUUUUUUUUAAGAGUCCAAAUCGAAAAAAAAGAUUGCGACCUCGAUGUUGGAUUAAAAUAUAUUUUUGGUGUAGAAGCUAAAAUAAUUAGGUCUGUUCGACCUUUGAAAUUUUACUUGAUCUGAGUU